GGGGUUGUAGCUCAGGGGUAGAGCACUUGCCUAGCACGUGAGAGUCACUGGGUUCAACCCCCAGCACUCCA
rnacentral:tRNA from 1 species